CACCAAAUCCCAUAAUCCAACGUAAAUCAUUAAAUUUCUCUUUUCUGAUUCGGUUGACAAAAUAUAGAGGCGGGAUUAUCGGAGUGUGCAGAAAUAAGCACCGAUUUAAUUUUAAGAAAACCACACCAGGAACUGGGAAGUUCAUUUAUCAGAAACUAUUUUUUUUUAAGUUUGGGAUUUCUGUAAAUCCUGAAGAAUGCCGUCGUAGAACUCAGGAACCGUGAGGCAGCCAGAGAGCUCUCCACCAAGCUGCCUGGCACAGCUGUUCGGAGAGUUCGCUUCUGGGCGCUACAGACUGGCGAAACAUGGGGUCUCUGGAGUUCCAGCAAUCCUCCUCGAGCAGCACUUUCUCAGUAGAUAAAACCCCUUUCCUGAAAGGCAUCGUUGUUUCUGAUGUUAAUCUCCUCCUCCUGGCUGGAGGUGCUCAUGCAGAGAUGUAUUUACCUUGGGAGCCAUGGGCACUUGUGAAGUAAUCAGAAGACCACCUAUGGCUCCAAAGAUCAAUAACUGAAAUGCUGCGAAAAAAAAACCUGGCUGCUAUAUGUGAAGUGUAAUUAAAAUUAAAGAAAGGAAAAAUAUAGCCCUGACCCUUUGAAAAUAUUAUACCAAUCAGCAAUAAAGAAGCUUCUUUCUUGUUUAA